rnacentral:rRNA from 1 species
UACGGGGGGGGCAAGCGUGGUUCGGAAUUACUGGGCGUAAAGGGCUCGUAGGCGGCCAACUAAGUCGGAUGUGAAAUCCCCAGGCUUAACCUGGGAACUGCAUCCGAUACUGGAUGGCUUGAAUCCGGGAGAGGGAUGCAGAAUUCCAGGUGUAGCGGUGAAAUGCGUAGAUAUCUGGAGGAAUACCGGUGGCGAAGGCGGCAUCCUGGACCGGCAUUGACGCUGAUGAGCGAAAGCUAGGGGAGCAAACGGG